GUAAAACUGGCCCCACCACCACCACCCUCAACCCCUACCAUCCCCAGUUCUGCCACAUGCAACUCUAGUAAAAGUAUAAAACUGAAUCCAAGAUCUAGGGUUUUAAUCAUGCAUUUAUCUUCUCAAUGCUCAUCUUUCUAGGGUUUCUUCCCAGAUUCCCUUAUCAAUUAUGCUUUCUUUCUUGAAAUUCGUCUUCUUCUUGCUCCCAAUUUGGUUCUUUCCGCAAUCCUAUAAUGGCCGCAUCUUCACCUUCAAGAUGCACCACCGCUUCUCUGACUCGCUCAAGAACUGGUCUUAUUCCGCUAAUAAUCACUUCCCUUUAGGAAAAUGGCCGUCUAAGGGAAGUUUCGAGUACUACGCAGAGUUAGCCCACCGUGAUCAGAUUCUACGUGGCCGUAAACUCUCCAAUUUAGACGCACCGCUCGCUUUCUCAGACGGGAACUCCACUUUUCGAAUUAGCUCUUUGGGAUUUUUGCAUUACACGACGGUGGAAUUGGGUACGCCAGGAGUAAAGUUUAUGGUGGCGCUUGAUACGGGAAGUGAUCUGUUUUGGGUGCCUUGCGAUUGCAGCAAAUGUGCGCCUACUCAGGGCACUGUUUAUGUUUCUGAUUUUGAGCUUAGCAUAUACAAUCCCAAACAAUCAUCAACAAGUAAAAAAGUCACCUGCAGCAACAAUUUGUGUGAACACCGUAAUCGCUGCCUUGGAACAUUCAGCAGUUGCCCUUACAUGGUCUCUUAUGUCUCUGCUCAAACUUCAACUUCUGGAAUUUUGGUAGAGGAUGUUUUGCACUUAACAACCGAAGGUAGUGAUCCAGAAUCUAUCAAAGCUUAUAUCACAUUUGGUUGUGGACAGGUUCAGAGUGGUUCAUUUCUGAACACUGCAGCUCCCAAUGGUUUAUUUGGGCUUGGCAUGGAGCAGAUUUCUGUUCCUAGCAUUUUAUCUAGGCAAGGUUUAACAGCUGAUUCCUUCUCCAUGUGUUUUGGGUCUGAUGGAGUUGGAAGGAUCAGUUUUGGGGAUAAAGGCAGUCCUGACCAAGAGGAGACCCCAUUUAAUCUGAAUCCAUCACAGUAAGUGGUAAUUCUUAUUUACUUGAUGGCUAACUUUAUACUUUUUGUUUUAGGUUGAAGUUUUAGCUAAUUAUUUUAGAUCUUAUGCCUGGAACCUUUUGUAGCCCAACCUAUAAUGUUACUGUCACUCAAAUUCGAGUAGGGACUACCUUAGUGGACGUAGAUUUCACAGCUCUUUUUGAUUCUGGGACAUCCUUUACAUACUUAAUUGACCCAACCUAUGCAAUAGUUUCAGAGAAUGUAAGCACUUCAAAAGCUGAAGAUCAAUUUUCACUUGGUCUCUAUGAGUAUCAAGUGCAUAAAUUAAGUUUUCAUGUUCCUUUGCAGUUCCAUUCACAGGCAAAAGACAGGCUACGUCCACCUGAUCCCAGGAUCCCCUUUGAAUAUUGUUAUGAUAUGAGUCUUGAUGCAAAUGCCAGUCUGAUACCUAGCAUGAGGUUAACUAUGAAAGGAGGAGGCCAUUUUGUUGUUUCUGAUCCAGUAAUUGUCAUAUCCACUCAGGUAAUAUUUUGUACAUAUCUUCUCAUCAUUACCUGUGUUGUCCAUGUGAAACAGAUAGUAAACAUUUUUCACUCUAUUUACUUGCAGAGUGACCUUGUAUAUUGCUUGGCUGUCGUCAAGAGUGCUGAACUCAAUAUAAUUGGACGUGAGUGUUGUAUCUUUAGUAUGGGUUUAUGAGUAAGAAUGGUUACAUGCUAAAUGGUAUCAAACUAUCAACACAAAUGAAUUGCAAAUGUUGGAAUAUUGACAUCUAAUGGAGUUGUGGUACUUAAAACUACGUAAACUUUUAAUGUAUUGAAAUUGAACUUUAUUGCUUAGCAUUCCAUGAUCAGAGAAAAUGAUGAUAGGCCAAUGAAGGAUCAAUUCUACUCUUCAGAAUUUAGGCUUCUCUUUUAGUGCCUUUAUCAGUGUACUGGGAUAUUUUACAUUCUCUGAAAAUAAGAAACCAAUAUCUUCAUUUAAUGCACUUAUUUAAGUUUCUUGAUCUCUUUGCAGAAAACUUUAUGACUGGCUACCGUGUUGUAUUUGAUCGAGAAAAACUUGUCUUGGGAUGGAAAAAGACAAAUUGUUAUGACAUUGAGGAUUAUAACAUGUUCCCAAUGGAACCCCAUGCUUCCAGUGUGCCUCCUGCUGUUGCUGCUGGAGUAGGUAACUAUUCAAGUCCACAAUCAGCAAAAGAGGGCAGGAAUAGCUCUCACAGUUUAGCUGCAUCACCAUAUUACAGUAGCAAUUCUUAUUUUGUAAUUAGCUUCAUAGUGUUCUUUACGUUAUGCAAUUUACUGUAGCCUAUUCUAUGGUCAUUCAUUUAUCAAGACAGCUGCAUGGUCAACUUUUAGGCCAGUUCCAGAUCGCUAGAAAUAUAAUCUUCUUCUGUCCUAGUUAUACCAGAAUUUUGUAACCUGUUGUUUCUUUCUCAUGAAGUCAUUUGUAAGCCAAAAAUCAUUGAUAACAGAUGUGGAUGCAGUGCUUAUUCAGGGUACAUCAUUGUGUAACUUCUUGUUGUACAUCAGCGUGCACUAUCCAAUAAUCCUGGCAAUCCAAUCCUGGUCGCAUUCGAACUUGAAUGGAAUCUUCAAUAGAGAAAAAAUAGCACACAGAAUGUAUUUCCCUCUUGAAUUUCUAUGCUUAGGUUGGCUGCGUAGAAGAAGAUAACGUUAGAUGUAAUUUUCACGUAUUCGCUCUAUUGAUAUGUUUGCCUAACAGCUCAUUUAUUGAUUUUAUGUGAUGGUGUAAGGGUGUGGCGGUAUAAAUUCAGAUGUUU
rnacentral:misc_RNA from 1 species